rnacentral:rRNA from 1 species
CCAACCCCUUGUGGGAGGGAGCUGUCGAAGGUGGGACUGGCGAUUGGGACGAAGUCGUAACAAGGUAGCCGUACCGGAAGGUGCGGCUGGAUCACCUCCUUUCUAAGGAGCA